rnacentral:rRNA from 1 species
CGUGGGCAACCUGCCUCAUACAGGGGGAUAGCAGCUGGAAACGGCUGAUAAAACCGCAUAUGCGCACAGUAUCGCAUGAUGCAGUGUGAAAAACUCCGGUGGUAUGAGAUGGACCCGCGUCUGAUUAGCUGGUUGGUGAGGUAACGGCCCACCAAGGCGACGAUCAGUAGCCGGCCUGAGAGGGUGACCGGCCACAUUGGGACUGAGACACGGCCCAA